rnacentral:tRNA from 1 species
GCCCUGGUGGUGAAAUGGUAGACACGAGGGACUUAAAAUCCCUUGAGCCGCAAUGCUCGUGCCGGUUCGAGUCCGGCCUGGGGCA